GACGAACGCUGGCGGCGUGCCUAAUACAUGCAAGUUGAGCGAUGAAGAUUGGUGCUUGCACCAAUUUGAAGAGCAGCGAACGGGUGAGUAACGCGUGGGGAAUCUGCCUUUGAGCGGGGGACAACAUUUGGAAACGAAUGCUAAUACCGCAUAACAACUUUAAACAUAAGUUUUAAGUUUGAAAGAUGCAAUUGCAUCACUCAAAGAUGAUCCCGCGUUGUAUUAGCUAGUUGGUGAGGUAAAGGCUCACCAAGGCGAGGAUACAUAGCCGACCUGAGAGGGUGAUCGGCCACAGUGAGACUGAGACACGGCCCAAACGCCUACGGGAGGCAGCAGUAGGGAAUCUGCGGCAAUGGACGAAAGUCUGACCGAGCAACGCCGCGUGAGUGAAGAAGGUUUUCGGAUCGUAAAACUCUGUUGGUAGAGAAGAACGUUGGUGAGAGUGGAAAGCUCAUCAAGUGACGGUAACUACCCAGAAAGGGGCGGCUAACUACGUG
rnacentral:rRNA from 1 species